rnacentral:piRNA from 1 species
UCACUUGAACCCAGGUGGCAGAGGUUGCA